GCCUGAGUGGCUCAGUCUGUUGAGUGUCCGACUUCAGCUCAGGUCAUGAUCUCACAGUCCAUGGGUUCGAACCCCACAUCGGGCG
rnacentral:tRNA from 1 species